rfam:Bacillus pseudofirmus OF4 plasmid pBpOF4-01, complete sequence.
CCUAACUAUUUAUCUGAUUAAGUAGAUGAAAUCCCUACUGUAGAAUUAAAGACCUUAUCAAUUCUACCCCUAAUACUCCUGCGUGUGCUUCUGUCCCUAAUGUCGGAAGGAUAUGAGAGCCAGGUGAAGUCGUCACAAUGUAGAUCAUAGUGGAUUGAUCUGUAAUAAGGCGGGGGGCCUUAAA